rnacentral:rRNA from 1 species
AGUGAACGCUGGCGGCAGGCCUAACACAUGCAAGUCGAGCGGCAGCGCGGGGGCAACCCUGGCGGCGAGCGGCGGACGGGUGAGGAAUACAUCGGAAUCUACCCAGUCGUGGGGGAUAACGUAGGGAAACUUACGCUAAUACCGCAUACGAACUACGGUUGAAAGCGGCGGACCGCAAGGCGACGCGCGAUCGGAUGAGACGAUGUCCGAUUAGCUAGUUGGCGGGGUAAAGGCCCACCAAGGCGACGAUCGGUAGCUGGUCUGAGAGGAUGAUCAGCCACACUGGAACUGAGACACGGUCCAGACUCCUACGGGAGGCAGCAGUGGGGAAUAUUGGACAAUGGGCGCAAGCCUGAUCCAGCCAUGCCGCGUGUGUGAAGAAGGCCUUCGGGUUGUAAAGCACUUUUGUCCGGAAAGAAAAGCUGCCGGUUAAUACCCGGUGGUCAUGACGGUACCGGAAGAAUACGCACCGGCUAACUUCGUGCCAGCAGCCGCCGUAAGAC